rnacentral:lncRNA from 1 species
UGUAACACCCCAAUUUUUAUUAUUAGUUUAUUAAUAUUAUAAUUAAAUAAUAUUAGUAUUAAUGUUAUUAUUAUUAUUGGUUGUUAGGUAGUAUUAAUUUAAAUAUUCGUAUUUAUUGAAAGAAUAAGCAAGGAGAAAGUAAAUUGGUUGGUUAGUCAGUUAAAGGGUGAGAGAAAAUAACGUUUAUGAAGAAAAUAGAGUUUUUAGAGAGAAUAAGAAAGUAGAGUAUGAACGGAGGUGAAUUAGUAAAAUUGGGUAGAAAAGAUGCAUAACUAGUGAUCUGAGUAGUGUUUUAAUGAUUUAAGCAGAUGGAGGUAAGAAUAGCUAGAUAAUGUAGUUACAGGAAGAAUAAUAACAAAACUUAGACGUACAGAUAGUAAUCUGAAAAUAUUAGCAACAAAUAUAGAGGAAAUAUAGUAAUUUAAAAAGAUUGCUAACAAACUUAAUUAGAAUUUAUAAAUAGAGAAGAAAAUUAGAGAAAAAAGGUUACAGAAACAAAGCGGCAAAAGAAAAACUAUGGUUGUGGAGAAAAGAGGCAAAGGAGGCAAAGAGUAUAGAGAGAGAGAUUCAACCAUAGGAAAUCAUCAAUUUCGCAAAACUAGAGGUAAGGGGGAGUCUCUAUUCACCAUAAGGAUUGUAUGAACAUAUGGUAGUGAAGGGUUUUUUUUUUUUUUGUUUUUUGUUUUGUUUUUGUAGUUUAUAAAUUGUGAUGAAUCUUUGUUAAAUUGUGUUCUCUCAUGUUGCUAUGGCUUUAUGUUUGAUUUAUAGUCUAUGAAUUGAUUCUAUUGUUGUAGUAAGCCCUAAUAGUCAAUCUAUAUUGAUUGAGUUUGGUUUUGUAUCAUGAUAUUGAUAUAAAUAUAUAUUGUGAAUAUAUAAAUAAUAAGGCAUUUCUUUAUUGAUUUUGUUUUGUUUCAAAAUAAUAAAGUCCAUAGAAUAGUUAGUCCCGUCGCUACAAAGGUUCUGCUCUUCAAGAGGUAAACACAUGAAUCUUAAAGUGUUUAAGUUUCUAUUUGAUUUGUGAUUAAUGAUUUAAUCAAGAUCCGUUUCAAUGAGAUUUCUUCUGUAAAGAGGAUUAAAAUUUUGAAAAAUCCCUCUUAAAAUCCCUUCAUCUGUAUGUAAUUAAUAUAUAUUCCUUGAACCAUUUUCAAUUGUGUUUGGGAGCUGAGUUAUUGUACCUGUGUAAUCGACCUAUCUUGCUUUCCGAGUCACUGUGAUAUAAAUUCUUUUAUUUAAUUAUCUAUAACUAAAGUGAUAAAUUCUAACAUGGUUUUGUAAAGGUAACGAAUUAUAGGUGAACUAUCCAAUAAGAUGCACAUAUUAAUUAUGCAUAUCGAUUAUUUAGUGAUUUAUUUGUGAUUUGUUGCUGCACUGAUGAUUGUUUAUGAAUUGUUACCAAUUUGUAUUAUACUUAUAAAACGUGUAUAUACUUAUAAAGCAUUAUGUGUAUAUACAUAAGUUAAAAUAUUUAUUGUUUAUUAUUUGAGAAUCAUGAUUUAUGAAAUAAUGAAGUAAUUUGUUUCUCAAAACGUGUUGAAUUGCGAGAGAUUGUUCUAGAUGAUACAAAUGAAUAGCUUUAGGCCUAGUGACUUUAAAUAUCAUGUAUGACUUUUAACCACCUUUAUAGCAAAUACAGGUUUGUGGUAUAAAAAUAAGGAUUGGACUAUUCUAAUUGUUUUUGAGAUAUGGAUUCUAGACUUGGUUGAUAAUUUUUAUAAAGAUUUAUUUCUUUUAUUUUGGAAAAGCAUUGAUUUUAGAUUCUCUUUUGCUUCUUCAUCUUCCCAAGGACCAUAGAAAUCUUCGUGAAUUACAUCAAGAACACCCUAAAAUUUUUAUACUUCGGGAAUAAUAGAAUUAUAGACUCGAAUAUAGAAAACAAUACAAAUGUCCCGAAAUCAUAAGCAAUUGAUCUAAUACUCCUCUGCUUUGCUGGUAAAACCUACUAAAAUUGACUGAAAAACAUGCUAAGAAUAACGUAAGAUGACUUGUCAUCAAAGGGUUAAAAAAAAUAAUAAAAAUAUUUAAAGGAUGACAAGUUAUUAAAAUUAUAUUCAAUUAUUUUUAUUAUUAUGUUUAUUACAUGAACGCCUUCCUAAAUGUGUUAAAGGUUUAAAAAUAACACAUUAAUAUAUUUAAGAUACAUUGAAUAAUGAUUCUCAAAUUCCGAAGGGUUUUUAAAAUUUUAAAAUGCUUCAACUAUUUAAUUAUUUCUAUGAGACAAUUCAAUUUAUUAUACAGUAUAAAGAGACCAACUCAUUUACUAUUAUUUGGAUGCAAAUAGUUAAAAAUAUGGUUAAAACUCCGAAGUCAGUUUAUGUUCUAAUUCUAUUUCUUUCCAUAUUUUUUAGCAUCACAGUUUCUAAUUCUUUUAACAGUAAGAUAGUUUUUACGGAUUGUAAAACAGAUAAAGAUUGUCAAAACCAUCGAGGAUUUAAUUUUAGGUGUCGUAAAGGAAAUUGUGUAGCCAAAAUAAGAUAAAUGAGUUUUUUCUAUAGCAAGAGACUUGUAGAAUACCUUAUGCUAGAAUAUUCCACUUGUUGUCUUUUACUUUUUUUGUGCAUGCUCUCAAUAGUUAUGUUUUCUUCUUCUGUUUUUCCCUAAUUUGCUGGACCUUGAAGUUAUGAUUUUGUACUCUAAGAUGAUGGAAAUGAAAUAAUCCCAACUUCAUUUCACAGCAAGGGUUGGGAUUUUAGAGAUUUCAAAGACACAUUAUUUGGAGCUAAGGGUUGCAGAAUUUGUGGUGGCAUACCAUCCAAGUCAUAGUUAGACCAUAUUUCAUGUAAUGUUGUCUUUAUUUAAUCUGGUUAUUUGUGCUUUAGACAUGAGUAUCUAAAUAUUUCGUGAUUAGGUUGAUUCUGUUCUAGCUGUUUGAACAAUGUAAACUGUGAAACUAUAUUUAAUACAAUUACAAUUCUAGUAUUUAUACAAUAUAAUUUAUGUUUAAUGGUUUUUGUAUCUUGAUCACAUUUAAAAUGAACUCAAUGAUCAAUUAACUAUUAGCACUAACUAUUGACUUAGAUCUAGUUACUCUAUUGAAUUAAACAAAUUGCUUUAGAGAUAUCAGGGUGAUUAAAGAUUAACAUUCAAUAGUGAGUUGUAAUGCAAGAAGAGGGCUCCAGUCAAAAGAUUGAUCAGAGCUGUUUUUUAAUUAUAGUGAAACUAGAUUAAUAAUUAUUGGAUUUAGGUGCAGUUUACCAAACAUUGACGGAUAUAGGAUUCAAAAGAUAUGAUCAUUUUUUUCUUCUAAAAUUCAUUACGAAUCUAUUUACAUUUUGCUAUGUAUGUUAUGAAUGUUAAAUAAACUAUAUGCAUUGUCCAACCCCGCAAUUUUAAAUAUCCGUGUUGAUAAUGUCUCUGCCUAGUAGAAACUAAUGAAUUAUAUGUGGAGAUAAAUUUUAUACUUUAUUGCUUCGAUAAUUUUUAGUACACUUGUUAAAAGUCUAUUAAUAUAUAAGAAAGGAGCCAAUGUUAUAUAAUUGAUUCAUACAAUUGAUGUAAAUAAGAAAAUGGAAUAAAUAAUGCAAU